rnacentral:sRNA from 1 species
GCCGGGUGCUUUGGUGCAUGCCUGUAAUCCCAGCAGCUCAGGAGGCUGAGGCAGGAGAAUCAUGAGUUCAAGCUAGCCCCAGCAAAAGUGAGGUGCUAAGCAACUCAGUGAGACCCUGACUCUA